rnacentral:rRNA from 1 species
AACGAACGCUGGCGGCAGGCCUAACACAUGCAAGUCGAACGCUCCGCAAGGGGAGUGGCAGACGGGUGAGUAACACGUGGGAAUCUUCCUAUCGGUACGGAAUAGCUCAGGGAAACUUGGGGUAAUACCGCAUACGCCCUUCGGGGGAAAGAUUUAUCGCCGAUAGAUGAGCCCGCGUCUGAUUAGCUAGUUGGUGAGGAAAUGGCUCAACAAGGCGACGAUCAGUAGCUGGUUGGAGAGAAUGACCAGCCACACUGGGACUGCGACACGGCCCAGACUCCUACGGGAGGCAGCAGUGGGGAAUCUUGGACAAUGGGCGCAAGCCUGAUCCAGCCAUGCCGCGUGAGUGACGAAGGUCUUCGGAUUGUAAAGCUCUUUUGCCAGGGACGAUAAUGACGGUACCUGGAGAAUAAGCCCCGGCUAACUUCGUGCCAGCCGCCGCCGUAA